AAACAAAACAAACAAACAAACAAUAGAACCCUGCCCAAAACACAAUAGAAAAUGUUAUUGAUUUAUUCCAAGAUAACACAUGACGUACCGGCGGUUACGUAAUGGAUUGGUACUUUUUGGUAAUUUCACGAUUUACCGGAUGGCAACGUAGCUGGCACGUCCUAGGCACAUAAUGGUAUUAACAAUAAAAUUAUGAUUAAUAUUAAUGGUUUACAUGCCGCUUAAUAUUUAAAUAUGCUUAUUUAAACGUUUUUAGACUGGACAUCUUAAAUAUGUCGAUUAAAUAACCCAAGACAGAAUUAAUACGCUACAUGCAGACAGCUCUGUGCUGUAUGGGAAUAUAACUGCGCGGCUGCGCGCCUCUCGCGCGCUCAAGUUCAGGACAGCGCGUGCACAGCAGAGCUGCGUCUGAGCGAUCGUUCCGCCGAAGUGAGACAUGUUUUAAUUUCACAACUGUUGUUCAAUACUUGUGAAAAUGUAUUUAAAAUCAAAUGUUUACUUGUAAUCUGACAGAAUGUCUUCUGACAGCAGUAACAACGCUUUUUUCAGGGGCUUUUUUUUUCAUCGGACAGGAACUUUCGUUUUAUCAGGUACACAGCACUGGUGGUGGCUGGAGUAAUCAUAGCAACCUGGGGACGUAACGGCGCCUGAAGAAGACAGGCCCAACUCCGGCUCUCCAGUGCGAUACUGAGAGUACUGUAACAAUCAGAUUAAUAGUGUCUUUAUCGGAAGUGUUUUUAUAAUAUUAAUGCUUCUGUAAUUAUUGAAUAUAUGUCUUGAUUCAUGCGCGAUAUAGUUAUGUUUUAAAUGGAAUGGAGCUUUGUUGUUCAUUUGAAUGUUUCUGUUUGUAUGCCGUUUUGAACGCGGUUUGAUAUGUUGCUGUUAAUAUGUUGCUUUUAUCUAUACAGUAAAUGAAAAGUAUUCCAUUCAUAUGUUAUUAAAAAGUUUCUAAAAUAGUUAUGGGCCAAUAAGGACAAGUUAAAUUGCUGCAUGUACUACAUGUACAUUUACUGCAUGUCCGCCCAAGGAAUAUUCAAUAAUAAAAAAUAAAAUAAAAAAUAAAAUAAAUUAAUU
ensembl:lncRNA